rnacentral:lncRNA from 1 species
UUUAUGAACUGGGUAUAGUUGUGUGAAUGGAGUGUUAAGGAUAAUAGGAAUAGAUAGAAUGUUUAAGCAAAUGAUCAUUAGUGGAGAUUUAGGUUUUCCUAAACCCCUAGCUUUGCUAAACUUCAAUUUUUGACAUCAAGCUAAAUACGCACUAUGUGCCUUUUAAAAAAAAAAAAUUUUUUUUUAUUUAUCACUUAUGUACCAUGUGACCUGGUGCAGAGAUGAUAAAAAAAAAUGAUGGAGUUAUCAAUGCAGAAUUACUUGGUGUUGAAUGUGAUCUAAGGAUCGUCAGCCCACUACAGUAUGAUGUAGUAUAACAAAGUCACCAAAUGACGAAAUCCUCAACGGACUGUUAAAUACAGUGCGGCAUCAUGACGUCAUUCUCAAAAAUGUUUUUAUUGAAAGAAAUUUUCCAAACCAAAUUGUUUUGCUGCGGAAUCAAGUAAGACUGAGCAGAAUAACCUUUUAUAUAAAGGGAAUAUUUUAAUUUGAGUAUCUUUGAUAGAUACCCGAGAAAUUUGAGUAUCUUUGAUAGAUACCCGAGAAAUUUGAGUAUCUUUGAUAGAUACCCGAGAAAUUUGAGUAUCUUUGAUAGAUACCCGAGAAAAUAAGUUCAUGAUCUUAUAUGACCCCACAGCAAAAUUUUAAACCUUUUACUCUUGUGAGUGGUGAAUUGGGUAGUAUGUGAUAUGUGUGAAUGGUGUAAGCUAUUUGGUAUACGGUGUAAGGUGUAAGGUGAAUUUCGGGGACGAAAUUCUUAGAAGGAGGGGUGAAUGUGACAACCCGAGAAUUUAG